AAUAGGAGGCGCUGCAUGAAUUAUUGAUGGCUUUGUGUCUACGCUUGCAAAUAAUUCCAAGCUCUGCUUUAUUCGUUCCAAAUCUUUUUGGUUGGAUGUUGGAUACGACAGGUUACUAAAAAUCUAUAAUUUAUGGAUUGCAUCUUCUGUAGGACGUGAUUACUUUCAUAAUGUUAAUGUAUGGACUGGAGGUCGUCGGGAAUGCCUCCGUUUAGCUGAACUGCAGACAUUUGUUAAAGGGUCUCUUAUUUGUCAUCUAAGAGAAGAUCCAAAGGUUUUGUGUUCCAAGCUUUCAAAAUUUUCACCAAAACGGAUGUGUUCUACAUGUAAAAGAUCACGCUGAUGCAUCAUCUGUUCCAAUAGCAUUAUGAUACAGCAGUUGACCAUGGUAAAAUCAGAAAAACAUUACUUGUCAGACUAGUGCAAUUAUGUGAAAUAAUAAUAAGAAAAAAGUGAGAACACCAUGAACGAAAACAAAUGCCAGUACUGUAAUAAAACAUUUACUAGAAAAGGAUCUUGCUACGAACAUGAAAGAAUUCAUACAGGAUGGAAACCAUACAAAUGCCAGUUCUGGUUCUGUAAUAAGAAGUUUACGAAAAGAUAUAAUUGCAUUGUUCAUGAAAGAACUCACACUGGAGAGAAACCGUUCAAAUGCCAGUACUGCGAUAAGACAUUUACUCGUAAAGAGGCGUGCAUUCACCAUGAAAAAAGUCACACUGAGGAGAAACCAUACAAAUGCCAGUACUGUAACAAGACAUUUAAUAUAAAAAAUGAUUGUGUUGAUCAUGAAAUUAUUCACAAAAAAGAUAAACCGUGCAAGUGCAAGUUUUGUUACAAGAUGUUUGUCAGCAGAAAUGAAUGUGAUCAGCAUGAAAAAGAUCACACUGAUGCAUCAUCUGUUUUGAUAGCACAUGGUCAGAAUGACAUAGAAGUUGAUCAUGGUAAUAUUUUAGUCUGUCAGAAUAGUGCUGGAAUAUCACCUCUCAUGGUUAAAGGUGAAAAUGAAGAUUAUGGCCAUGCAGCGGAACGACCAUAUCCUGUUGCUUUGUUUAAAAAUGUAUUUGCUUAGUGUUUUAACCAAGUUUUAAAAAUGUUUUAAAAUGUGUAUUAUGAUAUUAUAUUAUUAUGAUAUUAUGAUAUGGCAAUUGGAAGGUAAAAGUGUAUUGUAUAUGUUAGUGUAUGGUACCGUAAAACGUAGUUAAUUUGAAAUAGCACAACUCCUAAUCUGUAUGGAAAAAAUGGACACCACUUUCACUGAACAUUGCAUUUGACAAGCUUUACAAAAUGCUACAAACAAGAGGUCUGAAUGGUUCCAAAAUUAGUUUUCAGUUUCGUAAUCUUAUGACUGCUUCUCCCAUAUGAAAGUGCACCAAGUGACCCCAAACUCACUUAGAUGAAAGGAGACCCUAAGUGUAACCCCUCACCAUAAAAUAAGGCAAAGGUCUGUGUAGUGCCUGAAUAUUGCCACAAACAUUUUUUAGUAAGAAAUGAACAUUUUUACAAAACUGUGACCCAUUUGAUUUUGAAAUAAAGGUAAAAAGUCAAAUUCAAGGUCACAGUUGAAAUCUCAACAUAGAAUUUUAGAAAAGACUUCCAUAGAAACUUUUUCCAUAACUCCUUUGGUUUGGGAGAUAUUAACAUUAAAUUUUCAAAAAGUUUGACAAGGAUGCAUUGCGAAAAGUGUCACUAGUGCAAUUUUAAUCAGGUGGCAUGACAGACAUGUUUUUUGUCAUAAUAUAGUAGAAAAGUUUUGAAACAAUGAGGACACAAAAUAAAACAGAAAAUAUAUACUGAAA